rnacentral:piRNA from 1 species
UAGAAUAUAUUAGUAGAUUAUGG